GGGGGUUGGAACUGAACCCCACUUCCUGCAGCCGUUUCCCAGCCGGUUUUGAAAAGACUCUGAAAGGAGAAUAACGUCUUUAAUCAAGAGCAAUAGUAUUAGCUCCUUUACUAUAAGUAAUACUUUUCUUUGAGCCUAUAUUUAUUUUACCGGGCUAGAAAUAGCUGAAGUUAUUCCAGCAGCCAUGACUAUUGUCUAGGAGUUGGAUGUGGGCUGGCAAUAGACUGGCUGAUUACACUGUUUAGAAAUAAACCCCUUUGUUGGCAGUCUCUUCUGGUGAGAAUGGUUCAUAAAGGUCCCUGUGGCUGGUUGUUCCAUGGUGCUUGCUUUUAUAUCAGUUCAGUACCCUCAUAAUGAGGUGGUCUUCUAGAAUAUAUUAUUAUAACUCUGUUGCAGAGGGCGUAGGGCUCGUCAGUUAUGCAGGCAACAUCACAAAGCUUUGGAAGAAAUCUCUUAAUUAAGUGCUAGGGCUGGUGCUGCAGUGAAGGGAUGAAUGGACUGAAAUGCUUCCAUCUCUGAGCGUCUUUUCAAACUAAACGGGCCCUUUGCCGCAUCAUAGCCAGGAGUCCAGCAGACGGACACACUGAGAAAGUGGUGGUGGAUGUGAUUGGUGAUGUUCCUGACUUCCUCUGACCUACCCCUGGGGAUUUCUGUACUUCACGUCACACGUGGCUCCUUGUUGAUGGUAUGGUGAAAACAU
rnacentral:lncRNA from 1 species